rnacentral:rRNA from 1 species
GUGCCAGCAGCCGCGGUAAUACGUAGGUGGCAAGCGUUAUCCGGAAUUAUUGGGCGUAAAGCGCGCGUAGGCGGUUUUUUAAGUCUGAUGUGAAAGCCCACGGCUCAACCGUGGAGGGUCAUUGGAAACUGGAAAACUUGAGUGUAGAAGAGGAAAGUGGAAUUCCAUGUGUAGCGGUGAAAUGCGCAGAGAUAUGGAGGAACACCAGUGGCGAAGGCGACUUUCUGGUCUGUAACUGACGCUGAUGUGCGAAAGCGUGGGGAUCAAACAGGAUUAGAUA